rnacentral:lncRNA from 1 species
UUCCUUGUAUCCACAUCGAUAUGGUUGCUUCUAAUUGAGGAAAGGGGUCGAGUUUCAUGUCGGAGCAACUGCUUCUGCUUUUGGUAUCGGAUUCGGCUUCUUGAACGAAGACUACAUCAACGAUGACAGUGGUUGUGGUGCCGGAUGUGUCCAGGCCGGAGAGGUUUGAUCUCGAUCAGCCGGUGAUGAAGAGAAGAAACGAAGGCGCCCGGUAGCAGUAACAUGAACCGGAGAGCUCACAGUUACUACGGACGUUGUUCUUGGUGCAGCCUGACAGAAUCAUAUGGAAAUGGAACUCAAACGAUGUUCUGUGACCCGACACAAAUGUGUGUUUUUGAGUGUAGCACUUGCAUUCUCGAUUGAAUUUGGAAUGGCAUGGGCUUCCUCAAUUUGAAUGCCAGUGGAACAGAGCUGCAAGAAAGAUGAUGUUUCUUUUAUACAGAGCAUGCACAACUCCUAUUCUCUGUAUAUAUUACCUCAUAAUUUGUUAUACAAAACAACUUGAGGUGAGUAGAUUUACCAUACUUUUUCAUCAGGAAUUAGAAAUGUUCGAAGGGAAGAUAAAGACGAAGUUUAUUCUCUUCAAAAAGAAUUCUACACAACAUUAAUUCUAUCGCCUUAUCAAUGUGCAAAACAAAAGAAUUGACUCUUUACAAAAAUUAACCUCAUUUUGAGAGGAACCAAGAAAGAGAGCAAAAAAAAAGAAAAGAGAGGAGAUAUGAAUCGAAUCAGUUAACAAAUAUACAAGGAAACCAAAAAAAGAAAAAGAAAAGGAGAAAGAAUUAAUUGGCCAGCAUUUCUCUCCUCCAUUCCUCUUUUCAAGUUGCAUGUCGAUCGAAGCUUUGCAUGCAGAUGAUGGUACUGGCAAGCUGAUGGAUCAGCGGCGUCUGUGUUUAGGAAGAGUAAGUGUGAUCGUGGGAGCAGGAAGGCUGAUUCCAGCGAGCGUGGGGG